UACGUAGGGUGCGAGCGUUGUCCGGAAUUACUGGGCGUAAAGGGUGCGCAGGCGGCUCCGCAUGUCGGGCGUGAAAGCCCCGGGCUUAACCCGGGAAUGGCGUCCGAAACUAUGGAGCUGGAGUGUGGCAGAGGGAGGUGGAAUUCCACGUGUAGCGGUGAAAUGCGUAGAGAUGUGGAGGAACACCGAUGGCGAAGGCAGCCUCCUGGGCCAACACUGACGCUCAUGCACGAAAGCGUGGGAGCAAACAGG
rnacentral:rRNA from 1 species